AAGCACCAGCAGGAAUCAGAGAAUGGUGGCUUCCAUCCUCUGCGCACAGCAGCAAGGAAGGAGAUAUAUUGUUGUUUAUAAUUGCACUCCUGUGUCCUUACAGGCCACUUCCUCCUUCUCUCUCUCUGUGAUCUCAGGGCAUGUUGUGUGCUUCCAGCUCAAGCCGGCUCAGUUAUUCAGGCCAACCAACACAAUGCAUAUAACAUCCUUGUACAUUUCCACCAUUUCCCGCCUCACCAUGCCUCAGAGGACUACAGGCUCCCCAAGACGGGGACAUGGUUGGGCAGGUACCGGAUAGAUGCUGUCACUGCUGUAUUCACGUUGUACCUGCUGAGUGCCAGUACUGCAUGCUCUGGGGAUUCCAUCCCUGCCCCUAUGGAAGGAAGCCCACCCACCUCCGCCUUCUCUAGAUCACAUGUUUUAUGGCCGCCUCAAAGGCGUGAAGCAGGUGAGUCGUGCUGCCUCUGCCGACAUCUGCUUUGUGAGCCUGGGAGUAUUUCACGGAGAUGUUUCUCUCGACAGGUUUAUGGCUGGUCUUGGCUCAGUGCCUUGAAAACACUGAUCAUGUGAUGAAACGAGAAUGUCAUGCUGCGGGCCAUCAAUAAACCACACUGGCAUUCCCGCUCCCACCCCGACACCACUCCACCCAUGCAAUUUCCCUCCCCUUCAGCCUCCUCCCUCCCCAUCUCCCAAAGAU
rnacentral:lncRNA from 1 species